UGCUGGAGGUAUCAGAAGUGCGAAUGCUGACAUAAGUAACGAUAAAGCGGGUGAAAAGCCCGCUCGCCGGAAGACCAAGGGUUCCUGUCCAACGUUAAUCGGGGCAGGGUGAGUCGACCCCUAAGGCGAGGCCGAAAGGCGUAGUCGAUGGGAAACGGGUUAAUAUUCCCGUACUUGGUGUUACUGCGAAGGGGGGACGGAGAAGGCUAUGUUGGCCGGGCGACGGUUGUCCCGGUUUAAGCGUGUAGGUGUGUGUUCCAGGUAAAUCCGGUUCACUUUAACACUGAGGCGUGACGACGAGGCACUACGGUGCUGAAGCAACAAAUGCCCUGCUUCCAGGAAAAGCCUCUAAGCAUCAGGUAACAUCAAAUCGUACCCCAAACCGACACAGGUGGUCAGGUAGAGAAUACCAAGGCGCUUGAGAGAACUCGGGUGAAGGAACUAGGCAAAAUGGUGCCGUAACUUCGGGAGAAGGCACGCUGACACGUAGGUGAAGUGAUUUACUCAUGGAGCUGAAGUCAGUCGAAGAUACCAGCUGGCUGCAACUGUUUAUUAAAAACACAGCACUGUGCAAACACGAAAGUGGACGUAUACGGUGUGACGCCUGCCCGGUGCCGGAAGGUUAAUUGAUGGGGUCAGCGCAAGCGAAGCUCCUGAUCGAAGCCCCGGUAAACGGCGGCCGUAACUAUAACGGUCCUAAGGUAGCGAAAUUCCUUGUCGGGUAAGUUCCGACCUGCACGAAUGGCGUAAUGAUGGCCAGGCUGUCUCCACCCGAGACUCAGUGAAAUUGAACUCGCUGUGAAGAUGCAGUGUACCCGCGGCAAGACGGAAAGACCCCGUGAACCUUUACUAUAGCUUGACACUGAACAUUGAGCCUUGAUGUGUAGGAUAGGUGGGAGGCUUUGAAGUGUGGACGCCAGUCUGCAUGGAGCCGACCUUGAAAUACCACCCUUUAAUGUUUGAUGUUCUAACGUGGACCCGUAAUCCGGGUUGCGGACAGUGUCUGGUGGGUAGUUUGACUGGGGCGGUCUCCUCCUAAAGAGUAACGGAGGAGCACGAAGGUUGGCUAAUCCUGGUCGGACAUCAGGAGGUUAGUGCAAUGGCAUAAGCCAGCUUGACUGCGAGCGUGACGGCGCGAGCAGGUGCGAAAGCAGGUCAUAGUGAUCCGGUGGUUCUGAAUGGAAGGGCCAUCGCUCAACGGAUAAAAGGUACUCCGGGGAUAACAGGCUGAUACCGCCCAAGAGUUCAUAUCGACGGCGGUGUUUGGCACCUCGAUGUCGGCUCAUCACAUCCUGGGGCUGAAGUAGGUCCCAAGGGUAUGGCUGUUCGCCAUUUAAAGUGGUACGCGAGCUGGGUUUAGAACGUCGUGAGACAGUUCGGUCCCUAUCUGCCGUGGGCGCUGGAGAACUGAGGGGGGCUGCUCCUAGUACGAGAGGACCGGAGUGGACGCAUCACUGGUGUUCGGGUUGUCAUGCCAAUGGCACUGCCCGGUAGCUAAAUGCGGAAGAGAUAAGUGCUGAAAGCAUCUAAGCACGAAACUUGCCCCGAGAUGAGUUCUCCCUGAGACUUAGAGUCUCCUGAAGGAACGUUGAAGACGACGACGUUGAUAGGCCGGGUGUGUAAGCGCAGCGAUGCGUUGAGCUAACCGGUACUAAUGAACCGUGAGGCUUAACCUU
rnacentral:rRNA from 10 species